ACAGAAGGGACAUAGCUCAAUGGUAGAGCAUCUGUCUAGCAUACAGAAGGUCUCUGGUUUAAUCCCUGGCUUCUGCA